rnacentral:rRNA from 1 species
UACGUAGGGGGCAAGCGUUGUCCGGAUUUAUUGGGCGUAAAGAGCGUGUAGGCGGCCACGCAGGUCCGUUGUGAAAACUGGAGGCUCAACCUCCAGCUGUCGACGGAAACCGUAUGGCUAGAGUCCGGAAGAGGAGAGUGGAAUUCCUGGUGUAGCGGUGAAAUGCGCAGAUAUCAGGAAGAACACCGAUGGCGAAGGCAGCUCUCUGGGACGGUACUGACGCUGAGACGCGAAAGCGUGGGGAGCGAACAGG